UACAUGAAGCUGGAAUCGCUAGUAAUCGCGGAUCAGAAUGCCGCGGUGAAUACGUUCCCGGGUCUUGUACACACCGCCCGUCACACCAUGGGAGUCGGAAAUGCCCGAAGUCUGUGACCCAACCUGAGAGGGAGGGAGCAGCCGAAGGCAGGUCGGAUGACUGGGGUGAAGUCGUAACAAGGUACC
rnacentral:rRNA from 1 species